UACGAAGGGGCUAGCGUUGCUCGGAAUCACUGGGCGUAAAGCGCACGUAGGCGGAUUGUUAAGUCAGGGUGAAAUCCUGGAGCUCAACUCCAGAACUGCCUUGAUACUGGCGAUCUCGAGUCGGGAGAGGUGAGUGGAACUGCGAGUGUAGAGGUGAAAUUCGUAGAUAUUCGCAAGAACACCAGUGCGAAGGCGGCUCACUGGCCCGGUACUGACGCUGAGGUGCGAAAGCGUGGGAGCAACAGGG
rnacentral:rRNA from 1 species